GAUGAACGCUGGCGGCGUGCCUAAUACAUGCAAGUCGAACGAAACUUCUUUAUCACCGAGUGCUUGCACUCACCGAUAAAGAGAUGAGUGGCGAACGGGUGAGUAACAAGUGGGCAACCUGCCCAAACGAGGGGGAUAACACUUGGAAACAGGUGCUAAUACCGCAUAACCAUAGUUACCGCAUGGUAACUAUGUAAAAGGUGGCUAUACUACCGCUUUUGGAUGGGCCCGCGGCGCAUUAGCUAGUUGGUAGGGUAAAGGCUUACCAAGGCAAUGAUGCGUAGCCGAAUUGAGAGGUUGAUCAGCCACAUUGGGACUGAGACACGGCCCAAACUCCUACGGGAGGCAGCAGUGGGGAAUCUUCCACAAUGGGCGAAAGCCUGAUGGAGCAACGCCGCGUGGGUGAAGAAGGUCUUCGGGUCGUAAAGCCCUGUUGUUAGAGAAGAAAGUGCGUAAGAGAAACUGUUCACGUUUCGACGGUAUCUAACCAGAAAGCCACGGCUAACUACGUG
rnacentral:rRNA from 1 species